rnacentral:rRNA from 1 species
AACGCGAAGAACCUUACCCAGGCUCGAAAUGUAAUGGACGAUAUCAGAGAUGAUAUUUUCCGCAAGGACCGUUAUAUAGGUGCUGCAUGGCUGUCGUCAGCUCGUGCCGUGAGGUGUUUGGUUAAGUCCAGCAACGAGCGCAACCCUUAUCAUUAGUUGCCAGCAUUUAAGGUGGGGACUCUAAUGAGACUGCCCAGGUUAACUGGGAGGAAGGUGAGGAUGACGUCAAGUCCGCAUGGCCUUUAUGUCUGGGGCUACACACGUGCUACAAUGGUCGGUACAGAAGGCAGCAAGACCGCAAGGUGGAGCAAAUCCGAAAAGCCGAUCCCAGUUCAGAUUGUAGUCUGCAACUCGACUACAUGAAGUUGGAAUUGCUAGUAAUGACGUGUCAGCAACAACGUCGUGAAUACGUUCCCGGGCCUUGUACACAUCGCUCGUC